AUGCAUUCCUCCCAGGUUUCUGCCUGCAGCUCCUGGGCUGUCGCAGUUUGGAGUCUUGUGAAGACGGCUUGCGCUGCCACGUGGUCCCCAGCCAACAAGGACAGGUUUAUGUGUAUCUAUCCUGCUGAUUUAAACAAUAAGAAGACCAUUGCAGAGGGAAGGUGAAUCCCCAUAAGUAAGGCUGUUGAAAAUUCUACAGCUACAGAGAUUCAAGAUGUAUGUUCAGCAGCUGGACUUAAAGUAUUUCUUGAGAAAAAUAAAAUGUACUCUAGAGAAUGGAAUCGUGAUGUCCAAUACAGAGGCAGAGUCCAGAAUCCAGCUCAAACAGGAAGAUGGCAGCCUCUGACUUGUACAGUUCCCGUGAUGUAAGUCAGUAACGUUGAUGCAGCAGAAAUGAUACCUAAACUAAAAGCAAGGACACAAAAAACAGGAAGUGGUGACCAAAGUCUUCAACAAGGAGAGGGAAUUAAAAAAGAGAAAGGAAAGAAAAAGAAGUAACCUAGUAUCAACAUCAAGUAUGUGGUACUACUGUAAGAGACAUGGUGGCUUCUAAUUUGUAUCAGAGGAAAACAAGCUUUUUGUUCGCAUCAUUUAACUAAAGUGUGAACCCUUGUGCCUCUCAUCUUUAUCAUCGGAAUUGACAGUGAAACAAAUUCACAUCAAAAGUUUGCAUCUCACUUUUAGGCAGUAUAAACCAAUUUUUGUGUCUUUCAAUGCAGUUUUUUUUUUUGGAAGAAAGAAUAUUUUUAAACUGACAAUGGACUGUACAAUAAGUUACUUGAAAUAAGUUACUUGUUUCAGAUGAAUUUCAAUUAGAUUUGAAAUAAACAUUUUGUCCACCUUUUAAGUUAAUGAAAUAAAAUUUGAAACUGAA